rnacentral:rRNA from 1 species
AUUGAACGCUGGCGGCAUGCCUUACACAUGCAAGUCGAACGGCAGCACGGGAGCAAUCCUGGUGGCGAGUGGCGAACGGGUGAGUAAUGUAUCGGAACGUGCCCAGUCGUGGGGGAUAACGUAGCGAAAGCUACGCUAAUACCGCAUACGAUCUAUGGAUGAAAGCGGGGGAUCGCAAGACCUCGCGCGAUUGGAGCGGCCGAUAUCAGAUUAGGUAGUUGGUGGGGUAAAAGCUCACCAAGCCGACGAUCUGUAGCUGGUCUGAGAGGACGACCAGCCACACUGGGACUGAGACACGGCCCAGACUCCUACGGGAGGCAGCAGUGGGGAAUUUUGGACAAUGGGCGCAAGCCUGAUCCAGCAAUGCCGCGUGCAGGAUGAAGGCCUUCGGGUUGUAAACUGCUUUUGUACGGAGCGAAAAAGCUUCCACUAAUACUGGGGGCUCAUGACGGUACCGUAAGAAUAAGCACCGGCUAACUACGUGCCAGCAGCCGCCGUAAAAC